rnacentral:tRNA from 1 species
AAAGGGUAGCUAUGUCGCAAAGUUUUGCUUUUACAAUGCAAAGAUGUUUGUUAAACUCAAACUCCUUUUA